UUAUGUAUGUAUGCCUUACUUUUAGCAAGAGCGCACAAAAUCAAAUCCGAGUUUCUAGCUUGCUUCAGAAUAAUGAACACAAAAAUGUAUUAUGACGGCAAACUGGUUUUAUGUGUAUUGGUUUGUGCUGAGGAGGAGGAAAUUCUUUACUGUGACACAAUAUGGGCGUGACAAAACCAAUGAAAUGGAAGAUUAAAGUACAGGAAACACUUAACUCAUCGGUCUGAAGGAACUGACUUAAGUGGAUUUUCAGUCCAAGAGAAAACAUCUGUUUAUUAAUCCAGAAGUAAAGUGGCUAGUUUGCAGAAGAAAGUAUGGCCAGCUUUUAUGAUGACUUUGAUGCACCAUUUGAAUCCCGUUUGGAGCGUGACAUAAAGAGAGGUAGGAGGACAUACAUCAUGUACCAUGGCACCACCCUGACAGCUGCAUUUAAUAUUCAAAAACACGGAUUUCGGCCAUCCAUCGAUGGCAUGCUUGGACCUGGAGUCUAUGUCAGUCGGAGCUUUCGGAAGGCCAGAGUCUACCCAAAAAAUCUACCCUACAAUGAGCAGCGAGCUGUACUCAAGCUGAGGAUUCGAGUAGGAAAAGUAAAGAAGAUCGACCGGCAGGGACACCCCCUCCAAAAAACCUGGCAUGAGAAUGGGUAUGACACAGCCUGGGUGCCCCCCAAGUGCGGAAUGGUUCCCAGUGGUUUGGAGGAAGAUUGUGUUUGGGAUCCCAGCAGGAUUGAAGUUUUAUCCAUAAUCCCAGUAUAGUUCUUUAUAAUCUUCUUGUCACGAUUGCAGGCGUGCUGAGCGGCGAUCGUGCAGGUAGGCAGGUAAGGAGCAGGCAAACUGGCAGGAAUCGGGGCAAAACUCAGGGUUUAUUGGGUGAUCGGGACUUGGAACAGGUAACACGAAGACUACCAUCACCAAACCACAAUGAACUACAAUCAACUACAAUGACGGACAGGGGAGACAAGCAAGACCAGGACUUAAAUAGGACAGGACCAAUCAAAAUAAGCGGACACAGAUGGAGACAAUCAGGGAAGUACACGUGGAUAAUCAAGGGGGCGUGGCACACACGAGGAGCGGACGAGCCGGGCAUGACACUUCUCUUGUGGAACACAAAUGUCAUUUUGGAAUUGUUAAUAUAAUUGUAUUACUCAUCUUUAUUCUCUGUCACUUCCUUCUUUUUAACAGUUUAGGGAAUGCAUUGUUCUUUAAAACUCAGUACAUAAAUGUUUAUUUUGAUCAAAUACAAUAAUAUUCUGUGGAGGUUGGCUUCUUUAGUAAGACGCUGUUGAUCUUUGAUUAAUCAUAGGAAAAAUCCAUACAAGUAUUACAGCAUCCAGUUUUAUUCGAUUAUAUGGAUGGAUGGAUGAAAAUGGAAUAUAUGUAUGAAUGUAGGAAGACAAUAAUAAAAAACACAAUAUGAACGACUUC